UACGUAGGGGGCUAGCGUUGUCCGGAUUUACUGGGCGUAAAGCGCACGUAGGCGGACAUUUAAGUCAGGGGUGAAAUCCCAGAGCUCAACUCUGGAACUGCCUUUGAUACUGGGUGUCUAGAGUAUGGAAGAGGUGAGUGGAAUUCCGAGUGUAGAGGUGAAAUUCGUAGAUAUUCGGAGGAACACCAGUGGCGAAGGCGGCUCACUGGUCCAUUACUGACGCUGAGGUGCGAAAAGCGUGGGGGAGCAAACAGG
rnacentral:rRNA from 1 species